rnacentral:rRNA from 1 species
GUGGGGAAUAUUGGACAAUGGGGGGAACCCUGAUCCAGCCAUGCCGCGUGUGUGAAGAAGGCCUUUUGGUUGUAAAGCACUUUAAGCGAGGAGGAGGCUACCGAGAUUAAUACUCUUGGAUAGUGGACGUUACUCGCAGAAUAAGCACCGGCUAACUCUGUGCCAGCAGCCGCGGUAAUACAGAGGGUGCAAGCGUUAAUCGGAUUUACUGGGCGUAAAGCGCGCGUAGGUGGCCAAUUAAGUCAAAUGUGAAAUCCCCGAGCUUAACUUGGGAAUUGCAUUCGAUACUGGUUGGCUAGAGUAUGGGAGAGGAUGGUAGAAUUCCAGGUGUAGCGGUGAAAUGCGUAGAGAUCUGGAGGAAUACCGAUGGCGAAGGCAGCCAUCUGGCCUAAUACUGACACUGAGGUGUGAAAGCAUGGGGAGCAAACAGGAUUAGAUACCCUUGUAGUCC